CCGUUAUUCAAUCAACUUAAACCUCAUUUCAUAAACCCCUUUUCUUCGAUAUCCUAUUUCUGGUUGCAACAUUUUGAAUGGGUUCAAAUUCACAUGACAGGUGAUGAAUGAAUAUCAGGAGACGCUUAACAUGUUGACGCUUCCGGUCUAGUUCCAUUUGAAUUUUUUGAGAUUCCUUACAAUUUUGUUUGUUACCUUCAGUUAUGUCUCAACUUCAUUGAUUUACUAGAGCUGAUCAUCGAUAAACUUCUGUCGUCUUUAUUAAGCAGUAUUGGAUGUGGUCUAGAUGAGGUAAAGUUGGUGCAAAUGUCGUACGGACUUUCUGUGCUGCGUCUGAUUACUUUUAGCACCUGGUGUAAAACAAGAGAAAGCUCUAGUAAAUAUAGAUGUUUAUUUCUUGAAAUCAGUAAUCAAAGUGACCGUUGAAAACAUAAAUUGUUUUCAUGCGGGCGUGGUCACAUGAUCACUGAUUUCUUAACUUUCUCCUGUUUUCACCAAUCAAAAAUUACCUUGUAAAGCUCCCUUGACCACAACCUAUUUUCACUGGUUGGUCAAUAAUCAAGUCAUGGGUGACAGGUGUUACAAACAAUUUCACACAUGAGUAAUAGGAAAAGGUUGUUUAACAAAAGCCUUAAUUUACAUGUAAGGUACAUAAUCCAAAGUCAAUAAUUUAGCGCUUACAUGUCUCUUUGUUAUCCGUCUUAAUUAUGUAAUCUAAAUAUUCAAG
rnacentral:lncRNA from 1 species